CCAUGCAUCAAGUUCUUCCCUCAACAAUAUAUCAUCUUCUGUACGAUUUGCAUACACCACAUACAUCUCUGUAUCAUCCUCCGGAUCCUUCAAGAUCGCCUGCAUCACUUGAUAUAUUGGUGUGAUCCCCGUUCCUCCUGCAAACAUGGCCAAUUUCCUAGCAAACUUUUGUUUGCCAUGAACUGAAAACGUCCCCCUGCCCAUGUACUCAAUGUGACCCAAUGGACCUUUGAUUUCCAAUGAAGAACCUAUUUCCAUUGACUCUAGAUAUUGCGACAUGAUUCCUCCAUUUGGAAACUUAGGUUCCACACCUUUGAAGUAGAUUUUAACUAGCAACUCGAAGUAGCCAACUUCAUCAAUGGUGCUUGUUGGUGUGUAUGCCCUCAUACAAAGCUUAUCAUCAACGGUGGCGCAUACAAAGAUG
rnacentral:lncRNA from 1 species